AUUGAACGCUGGCGGCAGGCUUAACACAUGCAAGUCGAGCGGGGUGAUGGUGCUUGCACUAUCACUUAGCGGCGGACGGGUGAGUAAUGCUUAGGAAUCUGCCUAUUAGUGGGGGACAACAUCUCGAAAGGGAUGCUAAUACCGCAUACGUCCUACGGGAGAAAGCAGGGGAUCACUUGUGACCUUGCGCUAAUAGAUGAGCCUAAGUCGGAUUAGCUAGUUGGUGGGGUAAAGGCCUACCAAGGCGACGAUCUGUAGCGGGUCUGAGAGGAUGGUCGGCCACACUGGGACAGAGACACGGCCCAGACUCCUACGGGAGGCAGCAGUGGGGAAUAUUGGACAAUGGGGGGAACCCUGAUCCAGCCAUGCCGCGUGUGUGAAGAAGGCCUUAUGGUUGUAAAGCACUUUAAGCGAGGAGGAGGCUCUUUUGGUUAAUACCCAAGAUGAGUGGACGUUACUCGCAGAAUAAGCACCGGCUAACUCUGUGCCAGCCGCCGCAGUAA
rnacentral:rRNA from 1 species